GACGAACGCUGGCGGCGUGCUUAACACAUGCAAGUCGAACGGUGAGGCUCCAGCUUGCUGGGGUACACGAGUGGCGAACGGGUGAGUAACACGUGGGUGACCUGCCCUGCACUUCGGGAUAAGCCUGGGAAACUGGGUCUAAUACCGGAUAGGACCGCACCGUGAGGGUGUGGUGGAAAGUUUUUUCGGUGUGGGAUGGGCCCGCGGCCUAUCAGCUUGUUGGUGGGGUAAUGGCCUACCAAGGCGGCGACGGGUAGCCGGCCUGAGAGGGUGGACGGCCACAUUGGGACUGAGACACGGCCCAGACUCCUACGGGAGGCAGCAGUGGGGAAUAUUGCACAAUGGGCGGAAGCCUGAUGCAGCGACGCCGCGUGGGGGAUGACGGCCUUCGGGCUGUAAACUCCUUUCACCAUCGACGAAGGGUUUCUGACGGUAGAUGGAGAAGAAGCACCGGCUAACUACGUGCCAGCAGCCGCGGUAAUACGUAGGGUGCGAGCGUUGUCCGGAAUUACUGGGCGUAAAGAGCUCGUAGGUGGUUUGUCGCGUCGUCUGUGAAAUUCCGGGGCUUAACUCCGGGCGUGCAGGCGAUACGGGCAUAACUUGAGUACUGUAGGGGAGACUGGAAUUCCUGGUGUAGCGGUGAAAUGCGCAGAUAUCAGGAGGAACACCGGUGGCGAAGGCGGGUCUCUGGGCAGUAACUGACGCUGAGGAGCGAAAGCAUGGGGAGCGAACAGGAUUAGAUACCCUGGUAGUCCAUGCCGUAAACGGUGGGCGCUAGGUGUGGGUUUCCUUCCACGGGAUCCGUGCCGUAGCUAACGCAUUAAGCGCCCCGCCUGGGGAGUACGGCCGCAAGGCUAAAACUCAAAGGAAUUGACGGGGGCCCGCACAAGCGGCGGAGCAUGUGGAUUAAUUCGAUGCAACGCGAAGAACCUUACCUGGGCUUGACAUAUACAGGAUCGCGCCAGAGAUGGUGUUUCCCUUGUGGCUUGUAUACAGGUGGUGCAUGGUUGUCGUCAGCUCGUGUCGUGAGAUGUUGGGUUAAGUCCCGCAACGAGCGCAACCCUUGUCUUAUGUUGCCAGCACGUUGUGGUGGGGACUCGUAAGAAACUGCCGGGGUUAACUCGGAGGAAGGUGGGGAUGACGUCAAAUCAUCAUGCCCCUUAUGUCCAGGGCUUCACACAUGCUACAAUGGUCGGUACAGUGGGUUGCCAGUCCGUGAGGGCGAGCUAAUCCCGCAAAGCCGGUCUCAGUUCGGAUCGGGGUCUGCAACUCGACCCCGUGAAGUCGGAGUCGCUAGUAAUCGCAGAUCAGCAACGCUGCGGUGAAUACGUUCCCGGGCCU
rnacentral:rRNA from 1 species